CAGAUGGGAGCUUGCUCCCUGAUGUUAGCGGCGGACGGGUGAGUAACACGUGGGUAACCUGCCUGUAAGACUGGGAUAACUCCGGGAAACCGGGGCUAAUACCGGAUGCUUGUUUGAACCGCAUGGUUCAAACAUAAAAGGUGGCUUCGGCUACCACUUACAGAUGGACCCGCGGCGCAUUAGCUAGUUGGUGAGGUAACGGCUCACCAAGGCAACGAUGCGUAGCCGACCUGAGAGGGUGAUCGGCCACACUGGGACUGAGACACGGCCCAGACUCCUACGGGAGGCAGCAGUAGGGAAUCUUCCGCAAUGGACGAAAGUCUGACGGAGCAACGCCGCGUGAGUGAUGAAGGUUUUCGGAUCGUAAAGCUCUGUUGUUAGGGAAGAACAAGUACCGUUCGAAUAGGGCGGUACCUUGACGGUACCUAACCAGAAAGCCACGGCUAACUACGUGCCAGCAGCCGCGGUAAUACGUAGGUGGCAAGCGUUGUCCGGAAUUAUUGGGCGUAAAGGGCUCGCAGGCGGUUCCUUAAGUCUGAUGUGAAAGCCCCCGGCUCAACCGGGGAGGGUCAUUGGAAACUGGGGAACUUGAGUGCAGAAGAGGAGAGUGGAAUUCCACGUGUAGCGGUGAAAUGCGUAGAGAUGUGGAGGAACACCAGUGGCGAAGGCGACUCUCUGGUCUGUAACUGACGCUGAGGAGCGAAAGCGUGGGGAGCGAACAGGAUUAGAUACCCUGGUAGUCCACGCCGUAAACGAUGAGUGCUAAGUGUUAGGGGGUUUCCGCCCCUUAGUGCUGCAGCUAACGCAUUAAGCACUCCGCCUGGGGAGUACGGUCGCAAGACUGAAACUCAAAGGAAUUGAC
rnacentral:rRNA from 1 species